CACCGCCUCCCACAGCACGAAACCUUCUCUCCUCUUCUCGUUCUCCCCCUCUAUAGUCCUCCGCCGCCUCCAUUGCCUUCUCUUGGGCUCCUCCCCGUAUCCCGGGACUACUAGUCCAACCUCCCAAUUCUGCGGCACUCACCAUUCGACAAGCACUGAACCCUACCCCACCCACCAGUCCCCGCAGCCGCGCUCCGCAAUGGCGAGCGGGGCGGCUAGAAAGCGCCGCCGCAAGUCGUCGCCCCCUGCCGCCGCCGCGGCUGCACGGGACGGGAGGAAGCUCCUCGUCGGCGAAGUCGUCGAGGUGCUGAGUUGUGAUCAAGGACUACGUGGCUCCUGGCAUAAGGCUAUUGUUAUUGGUAUUCUGGAAAAUGCUCGCGCAGUCAGAUAUACUGAUUUCAUUGAUGAAAAUGGGUCACCUCUUGUUGAGAAUGUUCAAGUGUCAGAUGCCAUUGAUGGUAAGUCAAGUAUGCCUGAGGAACUCAUUCGUGGCAACAUUAGGCCAAUGUGUCCACAUCAAGCACUGCAGGUGUCUCAUGCAAGCUAUGGACUUUGUGUUGACGCACUCAUAGAAAGUUCCUACUGGGAAGGUGUUAUUGCUGAUCAUGCUGAAGGCUCUAUGGAAAGGAAAGUCCUUUUCCCUGAUGAAGGUGAUGAAUGCAUUAUAGAAGUUGAUCAGCUACGUCUUACUCAAGACUGGGAUGAAGCUACAGGGGAAUGGAAACCACGUGGAAUCUGGUCAUUUCUGCAGAUACUUUUGUCACAUGAAGAGAGAGAUGGUUUACCUGUGUCAAUCAGGCAGAUAUGGUUUGACUUAAGAUCCAAACCUUCUUUUAAGACUGAUGCCAAAAUGUGGAUGUGUGGAACAGAAGAUUUUUGGGAGAGAUCACUUGCAGAUGUCAUUGCUGAAUUGUGGUCUCUAUGUGACAAGCCUACCCUAGAUGGAUAUCAAGUGGAAGCAGUUCAGAAGGAUACAGUUGAGACCACUGUCUUGGAUAGGCUGGAUCCAUUCCAAGCAUUAUCAGAAUACAUCUCAUGCUAUCGGAAUAAUAGGAAAAAUGCUCUUAUCAAAAAAGAGUGGGCAAAGCAACACCUUAAAUCUUCAGGAUGGACCUUUCUGGAUGACAGACCUAAGAACAAGUUUUACAUCUCACCUGAUGGUAAGCGGUUUCCAUCUUUUCUAGGAGCAUGCCAGGCGUGUUUGGCUGCAAAAGAAGCAAAUGGUUACCAAUAUGAUCAUACAGAAAAUUUGCAUCUAGACAGUAUGAGUCUGGUGCACAAGAAUGCAUGCUACAACCAGACACACAUGGAUCUUGCCUUGGUAAAGAACAAGUCCAAUGAUAAAUGGAUCACGAGCCCAUCAAGAUCUUGGGAAUUGGUUCAACUGGAUGCUGAAUUUUCCCCACAGAUAGUUUCCCUUCUUGCUAGUUAUCAAGAUGGCACAACUGUCCUUCAGAGGACAAUUGAUAGAACUCUGAGUGUGAAGCUGAAGAAGCAUCUAUUGGCACUGGGUUGGAGUAUUAAGUUCAAAAAGGACGAAAUUCAAGAAAAUGGCCAUCAUAAACACACUACAAGAUACCGGUACGAGUCACCUUAUGGGAAGACUUAUGUUUCUAUCAUUCAGGUAAUAUGCAGUUUGAUAGUUGGAGGCGUUAAACAAGAUGACAGGCCCAGCUAUCGGACAGCAGCAAAAGGUGCUCAUUUGACAGUGUCAACUGGCCUGGCAAGGCUCAAUAAACGUAAACGAAGGGAUAAAACUGAUGCUCUUGAAAAAUACAUAGACUAUAUGAAAACUGAUAAGCAAAAUUCCAGGAGGAGGAAACUGUUGAGAUCAAAUGCUCAGAAGUUUCUCAAAUCUGCUGGGUGGAAUUUUUGGUUAAAGAAAAAGUCUAGAAACAAAUUGGAGUUGAGGUAUGGUGCUCCACAUGGCAAGUCUUACAGCUCUUUAGUGGCAGCAUGUAAAGGUUACUUGGAAAAUGGAUAUCAGGAGGACAGUGAUGCAGACAUUAAAAUCGCCAACCAUGGUUCUGCUGAUGGUUCUAUGCGUCCAUCAAAAUUGAUAGCACUCAGCGGUGGAUUAAAGGAUUCAAGUAAAAUACAGGGUAUGCCUGUUGUAGACAGAUGUAGCAACAUGUUUACCUUGUCUGCACAUCAUGGAAAAUGUAGGAAAAGAAAACCAUCUUCAGUUUCUUUGAACAGUGCACGAGUUCUUUGUUCACAUGGACAGAUCUUUCCCUGUCGGCAUCACGUGAAGACAGUUUUGUCUUUGUUGGUAGAGAAAAAUAUUGUGGUACCAAGGGAUAAGGUUACAUAUAAGCGAAGUGAUGGACCUGGUAUAAAGGAAGGUUCCAUCAGCAGAGAUGGAAUAAAAUGCAUGUGUUGUAAUGAAUUAUUCACUGUGGAGAAUUUUGAGGUUCAUGCUGGGAGCAGUACACCAUUACCUUCGGCUCAUAUGUUUUUAAAGGAUGGAAGGUCCCUAUCACAGUGUUUAGUUGAAUUCAUGGGUGGAAACAAGCCCAGAGAUCCACUGCAUGUGCGCUUGAAGGGGAGUAGUUCUGAUCUGGAAAGUGAUUCGAUAUGCUCUGUGUGCCAUGAUGGUGGGGAUUUAUUACUUUGUGACAAUUGCCCAUCAUCUUAUCAUUAUGAUUGUGUCGGCUUGGAGGCCAUUCCAGAAGGAAGCUGGUAUUGUCCAUCCUGCAGAUGCGGUAUUUGUAACUUGAGUGAUUAUGAUCCUGAUAUCAGCCAAUUCACUGAGAAGACCAUAGUGUACUGUGAUCAGUGUGAACGGGAAUAUCAUGUCGGUUGCACUAGAAAUAGUGACCAUCAGCUUAUCUGCCGACCAGAAGGUUGUUGGUUUUGCAGCAGGGGAUGCUCAAAUGUAUUUCAACAUUUGCAAGAAGUCAUUGGGAAACAAGUUCCAACUCCAAUCGAAGGCUUAUCUUGCACUAUCUUGAAAUUUUGUAGAGCGAACGGCAGUGACCAUGGCGAUUAUGAUGAUGAGAUAAUGGCAGAGCAUUAUGGCAAGUUGUGCAUUGCAGUUGAUAUUCUUCAUGAAUGCUUUGUUACUAUUAUCGAGCCUCGCACACAGAGUGAUAUUUCUGAGGAUAUUGUCUUCAAUAGAGAAUCAGAACUCAGACGACUAAAUUUUAGGGGAUUCUACAUAAUACUUCUCCAGAAAGGUGGUGAACUAGUAUCUGUCGGCACUUUUAGGAUUUGCGGCCAGAAGUUUGCUGAGCUGCCUCUGAUCGGUACAAGAUCUCUAUACCGUCGUCAAGGAAUGUGUCGACUUCUAAUUAAUGAACUGGAAAAGUUGCUUUUAGACUUGGGGGUGGAAAGACUUCUAUUACCGGCAGUUCCUGAACUUUUGCAAACAUGGACAUGCUCAUUUGGUUUCACAGUUAUGUCAAAUUCUGAGAGGCUUGAGUUGGCAGGGAAUAGCAUUCUCAGUUUCCAGGGAACCACCAUGUGUCAGAAGAUUUUAAAUGUUGCACACAACAUUUCACAAGAUAGAAGUAUUCCAUCAAUGUCCAAUUCUGAGAGAAUGGGGUUAGCAGAGAACAUGGUGGUGAAGAAGGCAUUUAUUCCAUUGACAGUGGAGCCAGACCAUCAUGUUGAUUUGAUUGUGGAGCCUGAGCUAGUAAUGAAAAUUGAGAAUAACAGCAGUGAGGAGGGUAUUUCUUCAAUUGAUCCGCUGACUAGUAUGCCAGACCCUCAAGUUGGUUUGGCAGUGGGGCCAGAGAUGGUACCGGUAAGUCGGGAAAACAAAGAUAAAGAGGGUAUUUGUUUCAUUGAUGCUCCAACUUGUCCGCCAGAUCCUCAAGUUGAUUUAACAACGGGCAUUCAUGAGCAAUCAUUUGUCAGGUUGCCAGUCUUGAUGAUAAGUCUACCGGGGAGUUUUUGCUAUUUUUCUAGGAGACAAUCUUAUGUCCUGCCCUGGCGCGCUAGAAAGCAAGCCACAGUGCCAAGAUCAAGUACAAAGGUUUGAUGAUAAGUCAUUGGGGGUUUUUUACUAUUUUUCUAGGAGACAAUCUUGUGUCCUGUCCUGGCGUGCUAGAAAGCAAGCUACAGUGCCAAGAUCAAGUACAAAGGCUGAAUAUAAAGCUUUGGCAAAUAUAACUACUAACAUUAUGGGGAUCCAAUCCUUAUUAAAAAAAGCUAAGUAUUUAUGCACCCCUUGCACUAAAUUAUAGUGUGAUAAUAUUGGUGCUAUUUAUUUAACAGCUAACCAGUGUUUCAUGCCCAUACCGAAAAAGAUCAGAAGAAUUUCGGUACAAUCUUAACCUAUCCAAGUUAUGAUUGAAGGAGAGUAUUAGAAUCUUAAAUAUAUUUACACAUGAUUGAUCUAGUCUCUGAUUGUAUAUUUAGAAUUGUUAUACAAUCUCUAUAGAUAGUGAACAAAUCAAUUACGGUGUAUAUGAUGGAAGGAGUGGCGACCUAGGAGUAGGGCUUGAAAAUAAGCUCGAGGCUCGCGAGCCGGCUUGAGCUCGAAGCGGCUUGGCUCGGAGUGACUCGCGAGCCGAGCCAUCCUUUUGGGCUCGUUGCUGUAGCGAGCUGGCUCGCGAGCUGUGCCAAAUUACUUAAUAUGUAGAAUAAUGAUGGAUAUUGGAUAAUUUUAUAGAUAGUCAGUUUGUUCCUAUAAGUUGCAUGCACCAACCAAUUCAACCUAAAAGGUUAAGCUGAUGGAAGGAGGUGGACAAUUCACUUAUAUUAUAUUCUAACAGUAUAGAUAGAGAGACCAAAUCAAUUACGACGGAUCUUACCUUGUACGCCACGAUAGUGGCUAUUUCUAUCCUAUAUAAAUACAAUUACACAGCCUCUUAUAGGAGGUAGAACACUUUCUAAUCUUGGUGAUUUUCUACAUCAGCAUCUUGUUUGUAUUCCCUUCAUUCCAAAUUCUAAGUCGUUUUGACUUUUCUCGAUACAUAACUCUUUGACUAUACAUAUGUAGAUAUAGUAUAUAACUAGAAGCAUAGUAAAAGCCAUGUAUCUAGAAAAGGUAGAACUACUUACAAUUUUGAAUGAAGGGAGUAACAAUUAGUGAUUUCUCUAGUAACUUAAUCAAUAAUAAUCAUUUACUACAAUUUUGAACGUAUUUUGCAUUUACUUGGUACUGAUUGUGUUCCAUUUCUAGUGCUGGUGCAGAUCAGUGCAACGAGAAUUGCACUUUGAAUAUAACACCUAACACAGCUUCAGGAUUGGAAUACAAGUUCUCAGGAAAAUGCUAUGAGCGGGUAAAAAAGGGCGCUCGCCCAAGGAAUGUCUGGCUUAGAAUCUCGACCAAAUAAUAACCAAAGGUAGAUCUAGUAGAGCUACGGAUGAAGGAUGCUUAACUUUCAUGCAAUAAGCUUUCAGCCAUCGCCUUGGCAUUGUCCAAGUUCAAGUCGAAACUAACCUAACCUGGUUACGGAAGCGUGUGAUUGUGUAUUUCCCACGGUGUAAAUUAAGGACUAUCCAACUGAUAACAUACUGUCCAGCUACGAGGAAAAUAAGAUUAUGUUGGAGCAA